CCCUUUUAUAGUUCAAAUGGGGCAUGUAGUUGUAGAUAUCCCAACAAUUAUUUUGGACGUUUCCAAUUCGGCUGCACUUUUUGCAGCUGCAACUGGUCUAUCUGCCAGCGAACAAAUAGCCCAGUCAGGCCAAGGACUAGCUGUAAACUUUUCCAGUAUUAAAUGUUUCUGGAUAUUUUGAUAUCCUGGCCAAUAUAACAAGACUAAGAUAAGGAAAUUUCAGAUACUGUAUCCCUCUCAAAAGAAAAGAAAAAGAAAUUUCAAUUGCUAUAGAAUAAUAGACAAGAUCAAUUGCCAUUUUAUCAGUUGAUCUUGGAGUUCAAUAUAUAUAUAUUUUAAAAAAAAAUCUUAUAUUAGUAGUUAAAGAACUUAUGAUGGGAUAACAAAAGAGAGAAAUUUUUGAUUGAUUUAUUGAUAUCAUAUUGGGUGAAACCUUGAGUUAGAGUGCCCAAACUAGUAAGCUAUGAUAUUUUCACAACUUCCAUCAAUGCUGAAUUCUGGCUUCUCC
rnacentral:lncRNA from 1 species